UAGUGUUAUAGCUCUUUUAGAAUUUGUUUAGCACGUUUCCUGUUUUCACUGGAAAACUCUC
rnacentral:snRNA from 2 species